UAAGGAAUAUUGGUCAAUGGACGCAAGUCUGAACCAGCCAUGCCGCGUGCAGGAUGACGGCCCUCUGGGUUGUAAACUGCUUUUAUCUGGGACGAAAAACGGGCUUUCUAGCUCACUUGACGGUACCAGAGGAAUAAGCACCGGCUAACUCCGUGCCAGCAGCCGCGGUAAUACGGAGGGUGCAAGCGUUAUCCGGAUUUACUGGGUUUAAAGGGUGCGUAGGUGGGCAGGUAAGUCAGUGGUGAAAUCUUCAAGCUUAACUUGGAAACUGCCAUUGAUACUAUUUGUCUUGAAUAUCCCGGAGGUAAGCGGAAUAUGUCAUGUAGCGGUGAAAUGCUUAGAUAUGACAUAGAACACCCAUUGCGAAGGCAGCUUACUACAGGAUUAUUGACACUGAGGCACGAAAGCGUGGGGAUCAAACA
rnacentral:rRNA from 1 species